AGUCCUUUGGUGUAGUGGUAUCACGUCUCCUUUACACGGAGAAGGUCAUGGGUUCGAAACCCAUAGGGACUA
rnacentral:tRNA from 1 species